CACCUACCUUUAACCUCCAUGGGGGCUC
rnacentral:piRNA from 1 species